rnacentral:rRNA from 1 species
ACUUCGGUACAUCGGUGACAGGUGGUGCAUGGUUGUCGUCAGCUCGUGUCGUGAGAUGUUGGGUUAAGUCCCGCAACGAGCGCAACCCCUACUGUUAGUUGCCAUCAUUCAGUUUGGGCACUCUAGCGAGACUGCCGGUAAUAAACCGGAGGAAGGUGGGAGUGACGUCAAAUCAUCAUGCCCCUUAUGACCUGGGCUACACACGUGCUACAAUGGUUGGUACAACGAGUUGCGAGUCGGUGACGGCGAGCUAAUCUCUUAAAGCCAAUCUCAGUUCGGAUUGUAGGCUGCAACUCGCCUACAUGAAGUCGGAAUCGCUAGUAAUCGCGGAUCAGCACGCCCGCGGUCGAAUACGUUCCCGGGCCUU